rnacentral:rRNA from 1 species
UAGGGAAUAUUGGUUAAUGGGCGAAAGCCUGACCCAGCAACGCCGCGUGCGCGAUGAAGGCCUUCGGGUUGUAAAGCGCUUUUAAGUGGGAUGAGGAAGGACAGUACCACUAGAAUAAGUCUCGGCUAACUACGUGCCAGCAGCCGCGGUAACACGUAGGAGACGAGCGUUAUCCGGAUUUACUGGGUGUAAAGCGCGUGCAGGCGGUAUGGAAAGUUGGAUGUGAAAGCUCCCGGCUUAACUGGGAGAGGUCGUUCAAAACUACCAAACUAGAGUACAGCAGAGGGGAGUGGAAUUCCGAGUGUAGCGGUAAAAUGCAUAGAUAUUCGGAAGAACACCAGUGGCGAAGGCGGCUCCCUGGGCUGAAACUGACGCUCAGACGCGAAAGCUAGGGUAGCGAACG